rnacentral:lncRNA from 1 species
GAAGCAACACUGAGUGACAAUCAAUUUCACAUGCUGUUGUGCAAAUGGGAUAGACAACAGGUGGAAAUUAUAGGCAAUUAGCAAGACACCGCCAAUAAAGGAGUGGUUCUGCAGGUGGUGACCACAGACCACUUCUCAGUUCCUAUACUUCCUGGCUGAUGUUUUGGUCACUUUUGAAUGCUGGCGGUGCUUUCACUCUAGUGGUAGCAUGAGACGGAGUCUACAACCCACACAAAUGGCUCAGGUAAUGCAGCUCAUCCAGGAUGCCACAUCAAUGCGAG